UCUGCCGAGCUGGGAUGCGAGCAAGGACUUCAGUUGUACAUUUUAAUAUUCUGGAUAAAAGUUAAAUACAUUAGGAUACUACAGGUGGACAUUCAGAUGGUAAUCUCAGUUAUUCUAACACCUAACUCUGAUUGAAUUACUCAAUUCAUCAGGACCUGGAUAUUUGCAUUGUGUGGUUCUGAAAGGGCGGAUUUGUGGAUGAGAAAUUCAAAUUGAACUUCACGUUCCGUUUUGAUAGUUACUUGAUCCGUGCCAAUCUGAAUAGCAUUUGGCUUUUUCAUGUGGAAGGAAAGGGUGCUAGAUGGUGAAGAUUGCAGACUGAAAUCUCAAAAUCAAGUGCAGAUCAUGAUUAAGUUAAACAACAUUUGAAGAAGCAAAGAUAGAGAGUCACUCGGCCAAAAUCCUGCAACA